rnacentral:rRNA from 1 species
UACGAGGGGGGCGAGCGUUGUCCGGAUUUAUUGGGCGUAAAGAGCUCGUAGGCGGUCUGUCGCGUCGGAUGUGAAAACCCAGGGCUCAACCCUGGGCCUGCAUUCGAUACGGGCAGACUAGAGUAUGGCAGGGGAGACUGGAAUUCCUGGUGUAGCGGUGAAAUGCGCAGAUAUCAGGAGGAACACCGGUGGUGUAGACAGCUUACUGGACCACUUCUGACGCUGAGACACGAAAGCGUGGGUAGCAAACAGG